rnacentral:rRNA from 1 species
AGGACGAACGCUGGCGGCGUGCUUAACACAUGCAAGUCGAGCGGAAAGGCCAUUUCGGUGGUACUCGAGCGGCGAACGGGUGAGCAACACGUGAGUAAUCUGCCCCUGGCUUUGGGAUAGCCACCGGAAACGGUGAUUAAUACCGGAUACGACCCGCCCUCGCAUGGGGGUGUGUGGAAAGUUUUUCGGCCAGGGAUGUGCUCGCGGCCUAUCAGCUUGAUGGUGGGGUAAUGGACUCACAUCGGCUUCGGACGGGUAGCCCGGUCUGGAGUAGGGGUGAACCGGUCACACGUGGGACUGGAGACACGGCCCAGACUCCGUA